CUCACCUCAGAAACACAGGUGUGGACCUGUUCCCAGAGUCAGCUGCUCUGACCACUCAGCAGCUGACAGCACGAGCUGAUGGUGCUGACAGCUGUUAUUACCCAGAGCUCCUAAGGAGAGAUGCCAGAGGUAGAGACCUGCCAAGCAGGUAAAAUUUGUUUAAGCAAAGCAAAGUGAAGAAUCUACAAAACAGGAGCCUCUGGCCCAGGGUGAAUGAAGGGUUUCAGCAGAGUCCCCAGCUCUCAUCUCUCCCCUACGUGUGGGAAAUCCCCAGGACUGCUUGAUCACGCUGACCAUUCCUGGAUUCUCUCCACUCAAAGUUGGUGUUCUGCAAACCUUCAGAGCGUGGCGAGAAAGUUUUCCCUUGGCCCCUGCAGUUUUGGCACUGUGAGCAGGACAACCAAAUCCACUCUGCUUUUCUGGAAGCUGCAGUCAAGGGAACCCAGGACCUGACAAGCUGGCAGAAGGGAUGACUGGGACUGAUACCCCUAAGCCCUUGAACUAGGAUAGCAGAGUUCUGCAUACUCCUCUUCCUGACCUUUCAUCCAUUCAACCAAGACUUACUGAUCACCUGCAAUGUUCAAAACACUGAGAGUAUGCAGGCGAAUCAGACUCCCAGUGUACUUCCAUCUGCAGCACACAGGACAUCACAGAUUGUCAACGCUGUCACACAGUACUGCUCUGGUUAUUCCUCGUGGUUAUCUUUGCUCCUCAGGGAGAUGGUGAGUGUCCAGCUCCAUGGAAGUCCUCUUGAGCUUGCCAGGUACACAGACCCCCUGCGAGUCUCUGUAAACUUGGGCAUUCUGUGUGCUGGGCUCUUGAUUUCUUGCAAACUGAUUUCAGAAUUCACUUAUAUAAAUUUUUUUUUAUUUUACUUUUUCUUUUUUCUGUUUAUUUAGAGACAAGUUCUCCCUCGGCUGCCCAGACUAGAGUGCAGUGGUGUGAUCAUAGCUCACUGAAGCCUCAAACUCCUAGGCUCCAGAGAUCCUCCCACCUCAGCCUCCUGAGCAGCUGAGACUACAGGCAUGCACCCCCACACCUGGCUAAUUUUUUAAUUUUUUGUAGAGACGGGUCUCACCAUGUUGCCUAGGCUGGUCUCAAACUCCUGAGCUCAAGCAAACCUCCCAUUUCGACCUUCCAAAGUGUUGGAACUCCAGGUGUGAGCCACCACACCCGGCCCACUUAUAGGUUUUUUGAGCUAUAAUCGCCACUGCACUCCAGUCUGGGCG
rnacentral:lncRNA from 10 species